GAAGUUAUCAAUAUUCUUAUUCAACACCAACCGUCCCACCGGCUGCAACGGUAUCACAUCCUCAGGCCAAGCGAUGGUGGUAUCUAACGGUUCAAAAUCAUAGUUGUUUUGGUCCUCGUAAUCAAUGGUCUGAAUAUAAAGUCUCCACUCAGGGAAAUUCCCAGCCGCAAUGGACUCGUACAAGUCCUGAGUUGCGUGACUAUGGUUGGUCCCACCAAUCCUAACAGCUUCCUCCUCCAGCAUGCUUUUCACACCGCAAGUGGGUUUCCAAUGGAAUUUGACAAGCCGGGCUUUCCCAGCUUUGUUGAUUAGAGAGUAGGCUUGGACGCCGAAGCCUUCCAUGUGGCGGUAGUUGAUUGGGAUGCCCACGUCAUCGUAGAACCAAGCGAAAGACAGAAGGCUUUCCGGAUGGUAAGAGCAGAAAUCCAGGAAUCUCCAUGGCUCUUGGAGGUGGGAUUUUGGGUUGGGUUUGAAGGCACGGAUGACGUCGGGGAAUUGCAUUGCGUCACGUACGAAGAAUACGGGGAAGUUGUUGCCCACUAAGUCGAAGUUGCCUUCACGUGUGUAGAAUUUGACGGCGAAUCCACGGGGGUCACGGAGGGUUUCGGGGCUGCCGCGCUCGUGGAUGACGGUGGAGAAACGGACGAUGACGGGGGUUUGGACGCCGGGGGCACGGAGGAAGUCGGCGCAGGUUAGGUCGGAGAUGUCGUGGGUUACUUCGAAGAACCCCUUGGCGCUGGCUCCUCGGGCGUGGACUACUCGCUCGGGGAUUCGCUCGCGGGUGAAGGUCGCGAUUUUUUCGAUGAGUUGAUAGUCUUCUAACAGGAUUGGGCCUCGUUCUCCGACGGACAUCACGGCGGUGUUGUUCCAUACUGGUGCGCCGGAGUUUGUCGUGCAGAAUGGGGUGUUGUACGCACUUGAAGGCCGGUACUUGUAAGGAUCCAUGGCGGUGGAGGAA
rnacentral:misc_RNA from 1 species